AGUCCCAGUGCGCCACGUAGUGCCUGACUUGUUCAGUUCCGAUUUCGGUUCUUGGUAGAGAACGACCAGGCAUCUGCAAUGGGAGGCUGCACAAUGUACAGGCUUCCAGAGAAGAGCUCUGAGCCGCUUUGCUCCUUCUUGGACCUUUUUGCUCCUGUGCCACUUGAGGAGAGAACUUAACCACAUCUCCUUAUUGAACGAAAAUGCGAGACCCAAGAUUCCGGUAAAACGGGGGGAACUUGGACGGAGAAAUUCUGUGUUAAUAAACAUGCUGGGAUCUACUCACAGAGCCUUUAUCAUACUGGAUCUGUUGUCUUCACCCAAUCUUAUGCAGAAGAGGAUGGGAGAAGUGUCUGUAAUUGUUCAUCUGAGACUCUGAAGAGUGUUUUCAUACGCUUAUCCAUGAAUCUUGGAAGUCAUCGGCAGAUGGGCCUGGGGUAAAACCUGGGCUGAGCCUCACUUUGCAGGAAGUAUCUGGUAUACAGAUGCAUAUCUGUUCUUGGUGGCUCCUUGGAUUUUUGGGACUAUCUUUGUUGGUGGGUCUGCAGAAUGACAUCUCGGAAGCAGUAAGAUCUUUUUGUUUGGGUUGUGGCAUUUGACAUACUGUACUGGAUUAUGCAGCUGUAUAUAUAGGUCAUUGUAAUUCAACACAGUGAAUUUCUAGGUAUUUUGUAUUAUAGUCCCAACACCUAUUCAUAUUUACUCAGACUUAACUCUCGCUCUGCUCAGAGAGAAUUCCAAGUAAAUGCGUGGUUGUUUGUCCCCCACAUCAGAGUGGUGAGAAGGAUUUUGGAUUUCCAUUUUAUCAGCGUUUUAGUGAUAUAAAAAGCUUGUUAAUACAUAGAACUAUGUGUCAUUUAAAGUUUUAUGACAAAAACACAUUUCAUUUUUUAUAUAGAUCCUGUGUUGCUGCCCAAGUGAAAUUUCAGUUGACUGCCAUUUUAUAAUGUUUCAGUUUAGACUUCUAAAAAGCUUUGGGAUGAACGUUGGGCUAAUAUUAGCUUGUUCUCAGAAUUUGUUUGCAUUCAGUUGUUUCUGGAAAAUGCAGAUAUUGGGCACCUGAUGUACCUCUACAGGAAUGCUGUAUCACAGAACAGGGGCAGCCACACUGAAAGCCCUGCUCUGAGUAACUGUGGAGUGGGCUUCCCAUAUCUUUGGAACUUUAAGGAGAGAUUCUCCUGUGGAAUGCCGUGACCUAUUGGGUAUAUAAGGGAUUAUUGAUUGGGUUACUAUUUUAGCGGACUGUGGAAAUGCUGUCACUUAACUUGUCUUAAUUUCACUACAGUGUUUGACAGAAGUUCCCCAUGGCCAUUCUGUCUGGGUGUGUUGGGAGAUGUAGUAUAAAACAACUAGAGGGCACCAGGUUGAGGAAAGUUGAUCUUAAUCAUUGACAAAAAGUAUAGCAGAGUACCAAGCCCAGGGCAGAACCAUGAGGCACUCAAAACACCCCUCUAGUUUGAUGGAGAACGAGUCAUGAGCCCUCUUUGAGUAUGGUUUUCCAACCAGCUGUGAAUCCACCUGGCAAUAUUAUCAUCCGCUCUACAUUUAACCGGGUUUACCCGGAUUUGCAUUUACCUGGAUGCUAACCAAAAUAUUAUUGGGAAUUCUGUCACUGAUUUAGGAGUAAUGUAGUGUUAGGGAUGUUCACACACUACAUUAACAAGUGUACAAUCUUUGUACCUGUGUACAGAAAUGGUUGAGGUGUACAUUCACUUGUACACUUGUUCACACACAAGAUUCAACAAGUGUACAAUGCUUGUUACUAGGUUUGCUGCUAGCAAAAGGAAAUGGUUUCAAAAACCUGCAUUGGCUUUACAUUUGCUACUGAGCCAGAUUCAAGGUUCUUGUACCAGUGUAUGAAGCCCUGAAGAAAUCCCGCAUGGACCAGAAACAUAAUUCCUGUCAAUGAGGAGUCAUGCCUUCACUGUUGUGGGCCCAACAGCGUGCAUAUAUAUCUGGUAGUUGCACUGGCUUGUAUGCAAUGCCUAGCUCUAGUUUUUAUUUAAAGUGCCAAAUUUCCUCCUCAACUCUUUGAGGCUGCGAUUCCAUUUACCUGGAAGUAAGUCCCAGAUAGCCCAAUGCCCUGACUUGGUAUAAGGCAGCUUCCUGUGUUCCUUUCCUAUUUUUCUGUAAACAGCACAGACAUAGAAAGACAUGUUCAUUUUUUAAAAAAAGAGAAGGAAGAAAAGGCAGAGUAGGAGGAGGCAUAUUACUUAGUUGCUGAUCAAAACCGGACAUGAUUUUUUUUUCUUUUUUAAGGGGGACAUGAUAGAAAAAAUCUUACUGAGGAAAAACUGUUGGCAAAAAAAAGUAGUUUUAAAAAGAUUGAUCAGAAUCUGAGUGGCUGUAAUUUAAUUUUGUUCAUGGGGUUGUGUAAUGUUUUUUCUUUUCCCCAAGUCAUUCAGUUGGUUGUUUAUUGCUCUGCACCCACCUCAUUCACACCCCUACACUCACGUUUGUUAUGGCUCAACUGUUUUGUACUGAAAUUCAGAAACAGCAUUAAUAGGGAUGUGUAUGUGUUAGGUCCAAACCCAACACGCAAGUCGCCCUGUCAACCCCAACUCGCUUAUUACACCCGGGAAGAGUGCGGAGUUGAGUGCAAAUGAACCCACUAUCAGAGAUCAAGUAACACGAGACAAAAACCUUUGCAAAAGGGACCCAAUACUUACAAGCCGAAGCAGGCCAGCAUGGGAACCUCGUUUAUUGGUGUUCAAGAGUUUAUAUAGGCUUACCCCGAAGUUUACAAUAUCGGGUUCACGUCAUAAGAUACAAAAGAAGCAAUUGCCAACUGUCAUAGCUUUGGGGCAUAUGUAAGGAGGUAAAGGGGUACAGGGGGAAGGACAAUGUGGAAACAUCAAGACUAUCUCUUAGACUCUAUGUCUGCAUAUUUCGCAUGUCCUUGAGAUAAGCACUAUGCAGGAACAGACAAAGGCAACUAUUGAGGGGAGGCCCAGCUGCAACCGGGCGCCCCCUAAACUGGAGACAGACAUGAUAUUACUUUGCUUACAUAUCAAAGGAGUAUUACAAGUCAAGGAUAUGAGGGGCAUUGGAAUAGUGUUUGACAUUCCUAUGCAAGGCACAUUAGUAACUAUAAGCAAGGCCAUAAGCAUAAAUGUGAUACAGAAAUGCAUAGUAGGGAAGUUUCCAGCUUAAACCGGCUUUUAUUAUGCGAGCCACUGGAAUGUAGGUAAGGGUCAGGUCACCAGGAAAUAAACCGACAUUUUAUAUCAAAAGUCAAAUAAAGGCCACUUUGGUUCUAUUUCCCGUGAAGCCCAAGCUGGUUUAGGUAGGACAAGUGAAUUAUAGUUUUGCAAGCACUGGGGGGUUUCAAUUUAUCCCUAACAUAUGCAUGCGGAUAUACAAUCCUGUGCACACUUACCUGGGUGGGAGUGAGAUCCAUUGAACCCCACAAAACUUAGUUCUGCAUAUACAUGCAUAUGAUUGGGCUGUAAAUCAUUCAUUUUGGCCCCUCAACACCAUCUCAAUGAUAGCCUAUGGUACUGUUAUCAGUAUCUUAUUAUUUCUUGAGGGUGCCACAGGUUCUUUGGUUUUUUUUAAAAAAACAGUGAAGAGAAUGUGUGGUGAAGAGAAUGGGAAGGGCUAGCAAGGUAGAAUUGCCACCUUUUCCUGGUUGGGUCUUUGUGUCUUUAAGAGCUCGAUGGCAUGCAAAAAUCAAACACUGGGAAAACUUCACCUGUUGGAUUUGUCUGCCAUAGUCAGAAAAAAUGGAUGCUCCAACCUUCACACACACACGCACAUGCAUGCACGCACACACGCGCGCACACACACUUUAUUUUAUGAAGUAAUUGGAGAUUGAUGUGAUUCUGUGUGUGUUUGUUAGGGAGAAAGCUUCCGUGAACUUAUUAGGGGUUUUGUCUGGUGUAAAGAGCCACUAGAGACUGCUGAAGAGAAAGCCAAUUCAUGCAACCCAGCAUUCUGCUCUAUUUAUGUUACAUGCAGAGCAAUCCUACUUACUGCUUACUUACUACUUGGAAGGAAUUCCCAUUGAGCAGUGGGGGUUCCCUGGAGGCCUCAUAGCUGUUUAGCCUGCCUCAAGAGCCUAUCCCCUCUCUUCCUUUGUCUUGUCAAUCAUCUCCCUCCAACCCACUGGGAUUUGCUUCCAUUCAGCAGCCCCACUCUUCAGAAUAUUGUAGAGAGCAACACAUGAUAAAAACACCACUUUUGAAAGGGUAGAACCACCCAUGGUUAUUUUACACAUUAACAUAUAUACACUUUUUUACACAGCAUUUCUGUGUGCAUACAGACACCACGCACGAGAGUACAGGGUAAUGUGUGAACUAUACCAUAUGGCCAGUUUGUACACAGGCACAUGUCAAGGUAUGAAUACCCCUAUUGUAGCAACCAUUCCCACAGCCUGACUCAUCUUUGCUGAAAGACCACCUCCAUCAGGCACAUCCUGCCUCCAACCCAUUUCCAUUCCAGAUGGUCAUUACAAGAACUCCUUUUUAAGAAUCGGUGCUUGAGUUUGAUUCCCCCCCCUUCCUUCCCUGUCCCUUUUUCCUUUUGUGAUAUGUUUUUUAGAUUGUAAGCCUGCUGGCAGGGACUACCUUAUUUUAAAUGAAUGUAUGUAAGCUACUUUGGGAGCCUUUUUGGUUGAGGAGCAGCGUAAAAAUGCUCUGAAGAAGUAAAUAAAUGUAGACAACAUU